UUCGUUUCUCUGCCUUUUGGCUAAGAUCAAGUGUAGUAUCUGUUCUUAUCAGUUUAAUAUCUGAUAUGUCCUCUAUAUGAGGACUACAUAUUAAAUUUGUUUUUAGAACAGGGAGACAGAAGAGGGGUUUGCUCCAUACACUCCACGCAUCAACCUGCUAUUGCAGUAUGUCCAGGAGUGGUGCACCUCCU
ensembl:snRNA U2 U2 spliceosomal RNA